AUGAUGGAAGAUCGGUACUGCCUAGAGCAGAUCAUCUUGGGAAUUACCUAUACUGAUUGUGAAGAUGCUCUCAUUUGGCAAUAUGAAGCUAAAGGCAAAUAUACUACUGGUUCCCUCUACAGUAUUAUUAACUUUAGAGGGGUUAAACCUAUCUUUAUUCCCUCAAUUUGGUCUAUUGUGGUGCCCCCAAGAGUGCAGGUUUUCUUAUGGCUUUUAUCCCACAAUAAACUUAUGACAAAAGACAAUCUCAGUAAGAGGGGGAUUGAAAACCCUCCUGAGUGUGUCUUCUGUUCAGAACAAGAAACUAUUACACACCUUUUCUUUGAUUGUGUGGUCGCUAAAAACAUGUGGCAACACAUCUCCAAUUUCUUUGGAAUUAGUCUGGGAGAUGACUUCCUUUCAAUUGCCAGAUACUGGCCUGCUAGUAAGAAGCUAUUAAUUCUGUCUGUGCAUGUGCUUUAUGGAGUAUAUGGAAGAUUGGAAAUACCCAUAUCUUCAAAAAUGCCAUGUGGACUGACAUGA
rnacentral:rRNA from 1 species